CAGCAGCCGCGGUAAUACGAAGGGGGCUAGCGUUGUUCGGAAUUACUGGGCGUAAAGCGCACGUAGGCUGACAUUUAAGUCAGGGGUGAAAUCCCGGGGCUCAACCUCGGAACUGCCUUUGAUACUGGGUGUCUUGAGUGUGGAAGAGGUAAGUGGAAUUGCGAGUGUAGAGGUGAAAUUCGUAGAUAUUCGCAGGAACACCAGUGGCGAAGGCGGCUUACUGGUCCACAACUGACGCUGAGGUGCGAAAGCGUGGGGAGCAAACAGGAUUAGAUACCCCGGUAGUCCCUGUCUCUUAUAC
rnacentral:rRNA from 1 species